rnacentral:snoRNA from 2 species
AUCCUUUUGUAGUUCAUGAGUGUGAUGAUCGGGUGUUCAUACGGUUGUGUGAGAUGUGCCACCCUUGAACCUUGUUACGACGUGGGCACACUACCCUUCUGACC